rnacentral:rRNA from 1 species
CCCUAGUAUAUUUAAUAUAUUAAGUAGUAUUUAUAUUUGAAAAUGAAAAUUUUUGGCGGUUAAUUAUUUUUUAGAGGAGCUUGUUAACUUUAAUAAGAAUUAACUCUUUAUAUUUUGUAACUAAAAAGUUUAUUCAUCUCUGUUAUUAGGACAUGUUUGACAAAAAUGUUUUAUUUUGUAUUUCAGGUCUAGAUGUAGCAUUUAUUUUUAUUAAUUAGCUACAGUUAUGAAAAAAUGGAAUUUUAGCUGAUUAGUUAAAAGGAAAAUGAAUUUAAUUGUAAUUUUAACUAAAAAGUUAAAAUGAAUUUUUGUAGUUAAUGUA